GGCUACUAUUUCAAAAUUCAAAACCCCAUUCUCCUCCCUCGUCAAAUCUCUCUCCAUCCGUCUCUCCGCCUGUCGGUACUAAAGCUUUGCACUGUCACCGAAGCAAAUACAGAAACUUUGCUCUCGAUGCAAACAGAGGAACCGUUGGUACAGAUUUUUCAUCUGUUCGUGAAAACCAAAGCUCAAUCCGUUCGCAGUUACUCAGCAUGGAUGGUGUCGUUGGCGGUGUUGCAGAGAAAUGGUGUUGGAGCGCAUCUUGAAAGAAGAUUUGCAGAAGGACUAUUCUACGACCGGUGAAGAAGUUCAAGAAGGAAAAAAAAGAGAAGAAUGGUGGUAGAGAUCUUACCGUUGAAGGUGCUAUCGACUAUGAGGCAGAGGUUGGGGUUGGAUUCAUAAAGCAGGGAAUGAGGUUUGAUGGUUGAUGACUGAUUCGUAUGAGGCUGUGAUAGGCGGCUUUAAUUUUGGUUAAAUUUUUUUGGAGAAUGAUGAUGAGGAGGGACGGCUUCCACAGCAGAACGGCGUCGCAGCCACUCCUUUCCCAGUAGCGACGACGGGUGCUGUGAAGGCAUCAAAGCAGUUUGGUACAAGAUUGUUGAUUUAAUCUUCUAUUGCAUAAUGAUUUCCUGUUAAAGAUUAUGUCAGUUCAUUACCUUUUAUUUGAUUUAAUCUCUAGCACCAUGCGUCUUUUUAAACAACCAAGUUCAAAUAUCAUGGUGAGGACUUCUCUUUGCUACGGUCUUAGCCUUUGGAUUUACCCUUCUAAUUAGCAUCAUUACAGCUACCACAAACCCAGGGUAGUUAAAAUCUUCACUCCCAAGAAUAAGGAAACAAUUAAGUACCAAUUAUUUUUUAUUCGAAGAAGUUUAAGUUAUUCAAGACACAACUAAAAUAUGUUUAUGCUCUUUGAACAAACAUCAGGGUUUAAUAUCAACACCGAGUAUGUUUUUAGUCUCAUAUUGUUAGUUUUGCAUUAUAUUACCCAUAUAUAUAGUUCUACAUUCAAGAUAAGAAAUACCUGCAAUAUACUAUAGAACGAGGUCUAUUUAGUAUAUAUUAUGAUUGUUGUGAAUUAUUUAGUAUAUAUCCCAUGACUUAUGAUCUCCUCCUUGAUUUCCUGUUUUUGAAUAGUGCCACAGAUUUGAUCAAAUUCAUUUAAAAAAAUUUUAGAGUCUACUAUGAUUAUUUUUACGUACUUUUAAAAUUAAAUAUAUUUUCUCAUCUAAUUAAUGAGCUGUGUUUUUCAUAACUGCAGUUGGAUUAUUAGCUAGCUUUCUUUUCCCAAUUUUUGUACAGUGAUUUGUUUUUAAGUAAGUUAAAUGGCUGAAAAUACUUUCUUAAUAGACUUUUAUCAUAUUGUAUUAAAGAAGUUUUCUUUGAGUGAUAAAUUAGGAUACUAUGACUGAUAUAGUUGUUUGCUUGAUAUUAUAUUUGCAAUAAAAUUUAAAAAGGUUGGUAGGACAAAGGAACUUCUAAAACCAGAAGGGUUAAUUGAGCAGGUCGAACUAAGAAAAGUUGUUGCAUCUCCAUCUGAAUAUAUUUUGAACUUUGAACUUAAUAGCUUAAUCUUUUUGCUUUGCAUAUCAUGUCUUUGAUGAUUGGACUUAACAUCCCUUUAGUUGAAAUACCACUAUCUUUUAUUCAUUUGUGCUUUAUAGGUAGCUACCUAAAUGUUACAUUGUUGCAGAAUUUUCUGUAUUUCUGUGGUGAAACAAAAUUGAUUUUCUUCCCCUAAAUAUUUGUUAUCAUAUUCUUCUUCUACAUAGGGUUACAUGUAGGUAUAUAUAAUGAUAAAGGUGUUUAUUUACAGGAUUUAUGAAUUUUAUUUACCUUGAAAUUUGUUUCAAUCGCUGUACAUAUAUGUUAACAUGUUGUGUUUUAUCCGUGACGUAUAGCUGCUGUGUUUAUUUAUCAUAAGUUUAUGUGUUCAUGUAGUCACAUAUUUUGAGUUGUAAAUGAAAUAGAAGCCAUUGCCUGUUCUUUAUUUUACUAUUGUCAUACUAGCUGGAUGGAAUGAAUGCCUUUUUAUCAAUGUAGUGUUCUCCUUCCAUAUUGUUACUUCAUUAUGAAGAUAAUAAGGCAGACAAAAUAAACAUUUUAGUUAUUUUAAAAGUGAGCUAAAAUUUAUAUUUAAGCAUGUUUUCUUGAUGAGAAAAUUAAUGUUGAUUCAGGUUGCAUUUGCAAAAAGGAAACUGAAAGAUCCAAAUUUGAGAAUGGCCAUAGGAUAUGUAAGAUGUCAUUAUAAUUGGAUUAAGCUAUAAACAUUUUUGCAUUUUGCAAUAACUAUGGUGAUAGAAAAGUCUGAUGUUUAAUGUCUCUUUUCUUUUCUAACAAUGAAUUUUACUUUGAAUCUGUAUUUUGUUUUUUUUUUUUU